GGGGCCAUGACUCAGUGGUAGAUCAUCUCCUUAGCAUGCAGAAGGUCCCAGGUUCAAUCCUUGGCAUCUCCA
rnacentral:tRNA from 1 species